GCGUUUAGCUCAGCUGGUUCAGAGCAUCUGCCUUACAAGCAGAGGGUCGGCGGUUCGAAUCCGUCAACGCC
rnacentral:tRNA from 64 species